rnacentral:rRNA from 2 species
UAGGGAAUAUUGGACAAUGGGCGGGAGCCUGAUCCAGCCAUGCCGCGUGAGUGAUGAAGGCCUUAGGGUUGUAAAGCUCUUUUACCUGGGAAGAUAAUGACUGUACCAGGAGAAUAAGCCCCGGCUAACUUCGUGCCAGCAGCCGCGGUAAUACGAAGGGGGCUAGCGUUGUUCGGAUUUACUGGGCGUAAAGCGCACGUAGGCGGAUGUUUAAGUCAGAGGUGAAAGCCCAGGGCUCAACCUUGGAACUGCCUUUGAUACUGGACAUCUUGAGUAUGGGAGAGGUGAGUGGAACUCCGAGUGUAGAGGUGAAAUUCGUAGAUAUUCGGAAGAACACCAGUGGCGAAGGCGACUCACUUGGCCCAUUACUGACGCUGAGGCGCG